rnacentral:rRNA from 1 species
UACGGGGGGGGCAAGCGUUGUUCGGAAUUACUGGGCGUAAAGGGCUCGUAGGCGGCCAACUAAGUCGGACGUGAAAUCCCUCAGCUUAACUGGGGAACUGCGUCCGAUACUGGAUGGCUUGGAUUCGGGAGAGGGAUGCGGAAUUCCUGGUGUAGCGGUGAAAUGCGCAGAUAUCAGGAAGAACACCCGUGGCGAAGGCGGCUCUCUGGGACGGUACUGACGCUGAGACGCGAAAGCGUGGGGAGCGAACAGG